CAUUAAGUGGCUGAAAUAGGUAAUGGUCUCUUAAACCAAAUAAUAGUAAUCAAAUAUUACUCUUAAUGA
rnacentral:tRNA from 1 species